AUGGCAGCGCGCCGGGCAGUCCCUCGUCUCGGGACGUUGCGUGGCACCUCGGGGUUUGUGCAAAGUCAGCGUGGCCUGGAGCUGAAGCCGACAUCGGCUGCAGAGGGAGAAGCGAGAGCUGGAGCAGAAACCACGCUUCUGCUGAGGCCAGGGACAGAGAGCGCCCGGUCUGAGGGUGAGAGGUGGCAGGGGGGAGACAGCUUGGCCUUGAGACGCCGGCUCGCGGAGCGCGUCCCAGCCGCCUGCCGCCGGGAGGGCUCGGUGCGCCCGUGGGCGGGCUUCCUGCAGUCCACACGGCCCCGGCUCUCCUCGUGUCCUCUGCCCUGGCUCCUUUUCCAAAGCUGGCUCCGGGGCUUGCUCUUCCCUGGGCUCCACACUCAGCUCCUGGGCUCCACACUCAGCUCCGUCUCUCCUCUCUGCAGGAAACUUCCUGGACUCGGGUCAGCCCCUCCUGGGGUUUCUGCUGCCACUAAUGGUGCAUGAGGCUGGUGUCACGGCUCACUAGGCUAAUCCUCCGCCUGCGGCGCCGGCACACUGGGUUCUAGUCCCGGUCGGGGUGCCGGAUUCUGUUUCAGUUGCCCCUCUUCCAGUCCAGCUCUCUGCUAUGGCCCAGGAGUGCAGUGGAGGAUGGCCCAAGUGCUUGGGUCCCUGCACCCCAUGGGAGACCAGGAUAAGUACCUGGCUCCUGGCUUCGGAUCAGCGCAGUGCGCUGGCUGCAGCAGCCAUUGGAGGGUGAACCAACGGCAAAGGAAGACCUUUCUCUCUGUCUCCCUCUCAUUGUCCACUCUGCCUGUCAAAAAGAAAAAGAAAAAGAAAAAGAAAAAGAAAAAGAAAAAGAAAAAGAAAAAGAAAAAGAAAAAAGAAUGGUGCAUGAGAGGCUGUGACAGAGUACUAAGAGCACAGAAGCAGAGGGGCCAAGCACCUGCCCUCGUGGUUCAGGUCAGGGGGCUGACCCUUGACCCCUCCAGUCCCUGGAACAUCAAGGUAUUCUGUCCACACGUGGUGCUGCCGACGCAAGGCCAGCUUUGACCUGCACAGAUGGUCCCUGACUUGGGAGCGCUGCAGGUAACAAUUUUCGACUUUACAAUGGUGCAAAAGUGGUACGCAUUCAGAAGACUCUGUUUCAAGUUUUAAUUUUGAUCUCUUCCCCAGGUAGCCACAGGUGGUACUACCCGCCAUCCCUGCACCCCCCCCCCCACCUUUCCAGGAUGCUCAGUGAGCCACAGCACCCACUCGGCCUGUCUCCAAGGGGGCCACCUGCUGUCCGGGGACCCAGGCACUCAGGGAAUUGCACGAGAGAGUUCAUGCUUUAUGAUAACAUAGGCUUUGUGGUGGAUGAGUUUGCUCAACUGGAGGCAAAAAGUCUCUGAGGACUUCCGAGGUCGGCCGGGCUAAGCGGCGGCGGUCCGUGCGGCAGGUGCACUGAAUGCUCUUUCCACGAGCCGGGGCCUCGCUGGUGUGACCGUGCCCCAGAAGUCAGGGAGCAACCGGUCAGCCCUGGCGCCUGUUUGUUCUGUGACUGAUUCCGGCUGCUUCCACUUCAAACCACAGCGCCGCGAGCGUUAGCCUUCCCUCUGCAAACCGGGAGCCACGCUGGAGCCAGGGUGGGAUGCGCCAGGAAGAAGCCGCCACUGCCACCUCUGGGGUCUGCAUCUGCAGGAAGCUGGGGCAUGGAGCCAGAGCCAGGAGCCAAGCAGGCUGUGCAGGCAACUCAGCGAUGAAGGGCCUGCUCCCAGGGAAGCUUUAUUUUGGGGCAAGAACAUUUUCAAGUCCAUACAUAGUUUUUUCAUAACACAUGUUUUCCAUGAACUUUUAAAAGCACCCAUAUAUAUAUUCUAAAAUUGUAAUUUUAGAAUAUAGCUUAUUAUAUGAUACAGGCCCAUAGGAUAUGGUAUAAUAAUAUGCACAAUCUGUAGUGUAUACCUUAUAUAUGUUUAACGCGUCAUAUUCAUACACACGACAUGCACACUAAAGAACUGGCUCAUGAAGUGAUUAUGGAGGUCGCAAUGCCCAGGCCAAGGAGGGGUGACCAUGGAGCUCAGUCUCUGGAAUGUUCCAGAGACCGGCACCAGGGCUCCGACACUGAGACAGGAGACGGAGCCUCCCCAGGCCUUCCGUCCCGCCCAGGUCUUCAGCUGCGGGACCGGGAGAGCCGUCCCGGCUCACUGAGCAGCAGCGCAGAAUGCGGUACCUGCGCUCCGAGGCCCUGUCUGUCCACGCGGCACUUGAGAUGAUCCAUCGGGGACUGAGACGCACCGCGUGGCUGCCUCGUUCCUGGCCGCGCGACAGAAGGGUGGCCUGCUUCUGCCACGAGGCCCUGCUGGGACGUGGGGUUGGGGUGCGCCGGCUCAGGGUGGCCUGAGAACACACUUGGCUGUGUCUUGUGGUCGCAGAGUGUCCCCUGGUCACACAGCGCCCACCUGGAUCCGGGCGGCUCGGCGACCAGGGACAGUGCCCACUAAGAAUAGGACAUGGGUGAGGAGAGAGCACAGCGUGUUGGUUUUGGGUGGAUUUUCCCACUUCCCGCUGCAAGGCCUUGGGGACAAUGAGCGGUGACGUUUCGGGGGAGCAGGUUGGCUGUCGGGGGCGUGCCUGGGCCUCAGGCCACUGCUACUCCUGAGUCAAAGCAGCCAGGCAGCUCCCCGGGCUGGGGCUUGCCUCAGUCUCCCCGGGGAACCUUUCCCAGGAACCGCAGACUGAAGGGUGGAAAACACAGAGAUGGGUUCCCUCCUGGAUUUGGAGGAAGGAGACCCAGGAUGGAGAGGCUGGCCGGGCUGGCUCCCCGCGGAGACCCUCCGAGCCUCAGGAGGUGGUGCCCGCCUCCCCGGCCUCACCCCGGCUUCCUCCUCGGUCGUGGCCCCGUAUGUCUCUCUGUAGCCACACCGCCUCCUUUCUUUGUCACACGACACUUGUCGGCCUUAGAGCCCACCCGAAACCCACCACGACGUCAUCCUACCUUGAUUCCGUCUCCAGGGAGCCCAGGUCCAAAGCAGGUCGCGUCCCAGGGCUGAGCGGAUACGAACUUCGGGGGGACACUUAUUCACCCCACCACUGCCGUGCAGCAGGAGGAGGUGCCAUUUGGGGACUGGCCGAAGCGCAUUUCACAGGUAGCGAGUGACAGAUGGGACUCGGGCCCUGGCUCUCAGUUUCCGGGAGGAGGAGGAUGGAUUAAGGGGGCGCUGUGCAGUUCUCCAAGAAAAAGUAGAAGUCUGGAUUUGGAGGGUUUUUGCCAUAAAAAAAUGUUAAAGGCACAAGGUGACAGAUCCGUUGCCCUGAUUGGACAUUCCACAGUGCGUCCAUGGAUCAAGGCAUCGCAUGGGACCCCGUAAAUAGACUCCAUUUUUAUGUGUCAGUUAAUAAUAAAAAAUGAAUUUUAAGAAUGCA
rnacentral:lncRNA from 1 species